UACAGAGGUCUCAAGCGUUGUUCGGAUUCAUUGGGCGUAAAGGGUGCGUAGGCGGCGCGGUAAGUCGGGUGUGAAAGUCUUGGAGCUUAACUCCGAAACUGCAAUUCGAUACUGCCGUACUUGAGGACUGGAGAGGAGACUGGAAUUUACGGUGUAGCAGUGAAAUGCGUAGAUAAUCGAGAGGAACACCAGUGGCGAAGGCGAGUCCCUGGACAAGUCUCCUGACCACUGGAGGCACG
rnacentral:rRNA from 1 species